rnacentral:misc_RNA from 1 species
AGGGAAACCUCAAGCAAAGCUUUCUUCCAACUUGUUAUCGAGAAUUUCCGCAACUAACAUGUACUUACUUUCCCUGACCUGUACAACAUGAUUUGGAGGUAGGAGACUAUUCUGGCUUGCCGUCGCCACUUCUCAAAACCCAUGCUGAUUUUUCUGAAUGACAUAGUUCCUUCAUAACCUUUAGAAACUCAACAUUGGUAAUAUCCCUAUUCAGUUGCAACUUGGCAGCUUCAGUUACAGAUGCUUUCUUUAGCUUGGCACUUGGUCCUUCAGCCAUAAAAAGAUCAAUUACGAUUUUCCUCAAUGUGUCAUACUGUGGAUUAUCUGGUGACGACUUCAAAACAUAGACACCAUGGAUGUUCACAGCAACCUGAUUAAUCACUGCCUGUAUCUCCUCUUGAGGUGCAUCAAAAACAUCAACGGAUGCAGUUAUAGCUUUCCUUGGAGCUCCCUUUGGAGGAUAUGACUUAGAAACUCCAAGUUUUCGCAGACCUUGGCGGAUUUGUUGGAAACUGCAAACCUUAUAAGUUCUAAAAACUUCUUGAAGUGCCUUUGGCAAAGCUUCUCGAAUUUCUUCGGACAUAGAUGUUCUCAAAAGUGAGCUAGAAGUGGGCUUAUCACCACUCGGCAAUGCAGUAAUGUCGGCAUUACGGUUUAUAGGAUUCUUCAUAGUAGGCCUGGUUCUUCCUCCAGGCAAAACAUCAUUGAUCUGUUUUCCCAAGCACUCCCAGGUAGCUUGCUGCUCUCUCACUACAUCACCAUAAAGGUUUUCAAAUUUCUUGUCAGGAUGCUCUUUGAGCUUCCAAUCAUUCAGGUCAGGCCUCUCGACAGCUAAUGAUUUUAGUGCUGGUGUCGCAGCUUUAAGGAAUUCAGGUCUCCUGCCAAAAACUGACUUUUUAAUUAAGAUACCCUUGGUAAACUCGUACAGAACGAAAUUCCUCGCUAAAACUUCAACUCCACUAUUCGUUCCAUAGACUA